UACAGAGGUCCCGAGCGUUGUUCGGAUUCACUGGGCGUAAAGGGUGCGCAGGUGGGUUGGCAAGUUUGAUGUGAAAGCCCCGGGCUUAACCCGGGAAUGGCAUUGAAUACUGCUGAUCUGGAGGAUCGGAGGGGGGACUGGAAUUCUUGGUGUAGCAGUGAAAUGCGUAGAUAUCAAGAGGAACACCAGUGGCGAAGGCGGCUACCUGGACCAGCAUUGACACUCAAGCACGAAAGCGUGGGGAGCAAACAGG
rnacentral:rRNA from 1 species